UACAGAGGGUGCGAGCGUUGUCCGGAAUUAUUGGGCGUAAAGAGCUCGUAGGCGGCUUGUCACGUCGGGUGUGAAAGCCCGGGGCUUAACCCCGGGUCUGCAUUCGAUACGGGCUAGCUAGAGUGUGGUAGGGGAGAUCGGAAUUCCUGGUGUAGCGGUGAAAUGCGCAGAUAUCAGGAGGAACACCGGUGGCGAAGGCGGAUCUCUGGGCCAUUACUGACGCUGAGGCGCGAAAGCGUGGGGAGCAAACAGG
rnacentral:rRNA from 1 species